CAGUCGCCACGGGAAAACGAAGGGGGCUAGCGUUGUUCGGAAUUACUGGGCGUAAAGGGCGCGUAGGCGGCCAUUCAAGUUAGAUGUGAAAGCCCUGGGCUCAACCUAGGAAUUGCAUUUGAUACUGUUUGGCUUGAGUUCGGGAGAGGUGAGUGGAAUUCCCAGUGUAGAGGUGAAAUUCGUAGAUAUUGGGAAGAACACCAGUGGCGAAGGCGGCUCACUGGACCGACACUGACGCUGAGGCGCGAAAGCGUGGGGAGCAAACAGGAUUAGAUACCCGCGUAGUCCCUGUCUCUUAUAA
rnacentral:rRNA from 1 species